GGGAUAUAAAUGCUGACCAUGCCUCUUGCUUGUCCAGAUGGAAGGUAGAAAGGCAUGUCUGCCAACUCCACAAAGGGAGAAUGUACAUUUGUUGUCCCACCCACUUUGCCUCUGACUCUGCCCACCCCGGAAGUCUGCCCAGAAAAGAAUGUGGCUGGUGUUUUGGAUCAGGUUAGCCAUAUUGAUUUGUAUGCUGUUGGUGGAUUUUUGUCAUUGUCUUGUUGGGCUGUGUAUGGGAUAAAGGGGAGCCAUACUGGGAUGAAGAUGUCUUCUUCUAUUUGUCAGUUUCAGUUUAUUGGUUAAUUUUUCUAGUAGGGCUGUUUCCCAUACUAUUUGGUACCAUUGGUCCAUGCUUACUCUUGACAGGUCUCUCCAGUGUCUGGCUAUGAUGCUUCUGGCUGCUGAAAGUAGGUGGGUUAUGAGUUCUUUGUGGUGUAAGUGGGCAUUAUUGUCUUGGAAGAUGUUUGGUAAGGCCAAUUCUGAUCCAAAACACCCACCCACCCCACUCACACAUGAAAAACAAAGACCACCACAGCCAACCACAAAUGAAUAACCACACCCUAGGCCAACCCCACCACCAAAGUAACACAAGCGAACAGCAAAGAACCUGCACAAGCAACGCUGACACCAAACCCUACAUAUAGUAAGUAAAAUAGAAACAUUGCUACCCCACCUCACCCCCACCCAUCUUCCCCCCGCUCCACCUCUUUCCCUCUUUUCUUCCUAAUGUCUCAACAAAUGAAACUGAUAUGUAAGAAUGAUACAUUGGGGGGGGGAAAUAUGAGAGAGAGACAUUGCACACACUUUUGUAAAUCAAGAAAAUCUUUUUAAAAAGAAUGCGGCCCUGAAACUGGAAAGAAGGGAUCCUUACCCCACAGAUAUAUAGAACAGCAGCAGACAAGCCCCUUUUAAUUGCCUGCUGGCCUGCAGAGAAGGGAGCAGCAACCACUGCAAGUGAGGGGGAGACCAUCCCCUCUGUUAUUUCCCUGCUGUUAUAUAUCUACAUUCAUGUUGUAACUUCCCGCUCUUGGAUAAUUAGCCAAUAUCUAUAUUUAUAUCAAAGCCACAUGUGUUGUAGAGAACAGCCAACGUUCCUCUUUAGAGAAUGCCUGGCAGGCUAUAAAUAGCCCCCAUCUGUAAUUAUCUCCAGAACGAUUUGUUAUAAUGGGGAGGGGGGAGGGCUGGGAGAGCAAGGACAUCAACAGGGGAAGGAAAUUCAAGGCGGCUCAUUCAAGUGGGAAGUUCAGCUCGGCAUUAAAAAAAGAAAAAGAAAAUCCCUCAUCUGGUCCUAUCAGGGGCAACCGACUCAACUUGACACUGAAAUAGUUGAGGUUGGGUGGAGGAGGGAAUCUGACUUGACUGGCUACGUGCCUCUGAGCAUAUCCAAAGUGCCCCACCCUCCCCGUUUCUUGUGCAAGUUCAGGACCUCCGUUUGCAUAGGCAUUUUGGGUUGCCAGGUCAGGAGCAAACCAGCCCCAAAGAUUUCAGGGACCAAAUCUGAGUCCUGGGAUGGUGGUGGCCUGCAGUGCUGUUAUGGGGUCAGGCCUUGGAGACGGAGGUUAAUGGGAGACUGGAGUGGAAGCGGGCAGCCACUGCCCCCCCUCCCCACAAAGAGUGUCUAUGCUAUAUUUUGAGACCAGCUCCUGCUAGAUUUUGAAGUUUUGAAGUUGCUUGCAGAGUCUUCAUAAAAAUUGUUGUUAUUAUAAUUAUUUAAGGCACUCUAGUCUGCCUGGAUUGUAUGGAAGUGAGAGCUGGACCAUAAAGAAGGCUGAUCGCCAAAGAAUUGAUGCUUUUGAAUUAUGGUGCUGGAGGAGACUCUUGAGAGUCCCAUGGACUGCAAGAAGAUCAAACCUAUCCAUUCUUAAGGAAAUCAGCCCUGAGUGCUCACUGGAAGGACAGAUCCUGAAGCUGAGGCUCCAAUACUUUGGCCACCUCAUGAGAAGAGAAGACUCCCUUGAAAACCCUGAUGCUGGGAAAGAUUGAGGGCACAAGGAGAAGGAGACGACAGAGGACGAGAUGAUUGGACAGUGUUCUCGAAGCUACCAGCAUGAGUCUGACCAAACUGCGGGAGGCAGUGGAAGACAGGAGUGCCUGGUGUGUUCUGGUCCAUGGGGUCACGAAGAGUUGGACAUGACUAAACAACAAGUCCACCUGGAAUUUCAGGCCCUCCGCCAGCCACCUGGAGUGGGCCAGGCAAACCUGGGGACUUCAGAUGAGACUUGGAGGUCUGGCAUAAACUUCUACCUGCUACAUGCCGGAUGAAUGACUGGCGGUGGCUGUGGCUGUGGCCUUCAGACCCUGCUUGUGGCUUCCUGGAGGUAUUUAGAGUCAGAAUUGAGGAGUUGGAAAGAACUCAAAGGGUCGUCUAGUCCAACCUCCUCGAAUGCAGGAAUCAAAACUAAUUUGGCUGAACUUUGCUUUUAAAAAUGAACGAACGAACAGCAGGACAGUGAGCAAGAGACGCCUUUAGCCUCCUAGAUCCUGCCAGUUCUUAACUCCACGGUGGAAAACUCCUUACCCUCCAACAUUUCUCCAAUGAAAAUAGGGACAUCCUAAGGAAAAGUAGGACAUUCUGGGAUCAGAUCAGAAACUGGGACAGCUUCUGUAAAUCCAGGCUUGUCCCUGGAAAAUAGGGGCACUUACAGUGGCGGAGCUUCAUGCUCCACCACCGGGGGGCGGAGAGCAGGUGGGGGCAGGGCUGGCACGCACCCCGGGGCAUGUUGCACCCCCUGUAGGGACGUAGCUUGCGUCCUGGGGGUGUGACUUGUGUCCUGGGGGCGUGGCACCCAGCGCGGGCAGGGGUGUCAGCCGCGAUGGCAGCCAGCCGGGAUCAUGCUGCCGGGGGCGGUGCGCUCCCCCCGCAUGCCUCUUCCUCUGCCAGUGGGCACUUAGAAUGUCUGCAAAUACAACGCAGAAAUUAACAGUCAGGGAAAUGGGGUAAACUGCCUUGUGACUGCAGCCGAAGAAUAAUUGGAAGAAGGCAACGGUGUAUCUGAUGAGCGCAUGCCAGCAGACUCCAUUUCUUUCACGUUGUGGGGGUGAGGAGAGCUGUCCCAGGGUUCAUUUCCAUGGUAAUAACAGCAUCCUGAGAAACCUCUCUGCCUUUCCCCACAUAGCUACACAGAGCAUUGUCUUUAACUGCCUGAGAUUGCUAUCUCUCCCUUUGAUUUUAUCAGCUCUUCUCAUCGGGAAAAGGAAACAAAGAGGCAGGGGCAGGCCUCUCUGAAUUUCCUAUGCUAAAUUAUGCUAAAAGGAGCUGUUCCAAAAGGAACCCUGGCAGAGCCUGGAUAGAAAAGCAAACUGGAUCAGACCAAAGGCCCAUCCAGCAUGGGGGGAGGAGUGUCAUCCCCCCCCUCCAGCAAAGUGGGAGGGUGGGGCUUGCAAGCACCUCUCAAAAGGAUGCAUCUGUUUCCAAUGCCUGGCUUCCACAGGUAGACUGCUGCUGGAUAUGGAGAUUCCACUGUAGCUAAAGAAGACGACGACCUGACCUGUACCCUGUGAUCGUCCCCUGAGGCCCUUCUUUGUGCGCCUCCUCCAUGGGAGGUCCAGAGGGUGGCAAUACAAGGAUGGGCCUUUUCAGUGAUGGCUCCCUACUUGUGGAAUGCUCUCCCCUGUUACAUAACUUUCGGCACCACGGCAAAACAUUUUGCUGUUUCAUCAUGCCUUUAGCUUUUAAUUAUAUAUGGUCUUUUUGUGUGGGCAGGAUGUUUUAACCUGGGGUUUAAAAAUUUUUUUUAAAAAAAAAUAUACAUAUAUCUUUGAGAUUGGUUUUUAAUGCUGGUUUUAAUGUAUUUUUGUUUGUCUGAAGCAUUGUAAAAUGCUUUGAGCUGCCCAAAACCAACUAACAAAUUUGUUUGUUUGGUCCGUAACAUUUAUACGCCACUUGAUAGAAAAACAAACAAAACAAACCUCAAAGCGGUUUUUCCAAAAAGAUGCAACAAUAGAAUUAUCACUAAGAAAAAUUAACAAUAAUUUUAAAAUUUUGAAAAGUUAAGAGCAGUAGGCUAAAAAAUUAUUAUUAUUAUUAUUAUUAUUAUUAUUAUUAUUAUUAUUUUAUUGUUUCUACCCCGCCCAUCCAGCUUGGUGUCCCCAGCCACUCUGGGCGGCUGCCAACAGAUUAAAAACAGAACAAAACAUCACACAUUAAAAACUUCCCUAAACAGGGCUGCUGUCCCGGCUGAGGACGUUGGGACCGGGGGUAAGAUGGCAGGGUGGGAGCUGGAAUGAGAGUCCAGAAGCCAGAGGUCCAAGGGUCAGGAAGCAGGGAGUCACGAAGUCAAGGGUCCGAGGGUCGAGAAGCAAGGAGUUAAGAAGCAGAGGUCUGAGGAUCAGUAAGCAAGAAGCCAAACGCAGCAAGGCAUGAAACAAGCUGCUGUGGCAAAGAGCCGAAGGGAAGUGCUGACCUUAUAUCCCUUCCCAGCUCUUGCCACCAGGUGCAGCGAGUUACCAAGCGGCCUCACCUAUGCGGCCGCGCCUUGCCUCUCCAGAACAAACUUAGGAAGGGCCCAGUCCUGCGAAGCCCUACUGGUCACAGGGUCCGGCUCCUUCACGCACUCCUGACAGCUGCCUUCAGAUAUCUUCUAAAAGUCAGAUCAUUGUUUAUUUCCUUGACAUCUGGUGGGAGGGCGUCCCACAGGGCAGGCGCCACUACCAAGAAGGCCCUCUGCCUGGUUCCCUGUAACCUCACUUCUCACAGUGAGGAAACUGCCAGAAGGCCCUUGGCGCUGGACCUCAGUGUCCGGGCUAAACGAUGGGGGUGGAGACGCUCCUUCAGGUGUACUGUGCCGAGGCCGUUUAGGGCUUUAAAGGUCAGCACCAACACUUUGAAUUGUGCUUGGAAACGUACUGGGAGCCAAUGUAGGUCUUUCAGGACCAGUAUUAUAUGGUCUCGGCAGCCACUCCCAGUCACCAGUCUAGCUGCUGCAUUCUGGAUUAGUUGCAGUUUCCGCAUCACCUUCAAAGGUAGCCCCAUGUAGAGUUAUCUCCAAGAGGGAGACAACUAGAGCAUGCACCACUCCGGUGAGACAGUCUGCGGGCAGAAGGGGUCUCAGCCGGCGUACCAGAUGGAGCUGGUAGACAGCUGCCCUGGACCAGAGGUGAAGCAACCUGCUCCGGUACCCAGAACUCAGUACAUAACAGUGGUACUCGUCCCAGGGGCGUGACACAUGUCCCGGGAGCCAUGGUGCAUGCCUGGGGGGGUGCCACCAAUCAGGGGUCGGCAUUUUGUCACACCCCCCCCCCCGUUGGAAUGGUACCCAGGGCAGACUGCUCCCUGCCCCCCUUGGAACAUCCCUGCCCUGGACACAGAAUUGACCUGCACCUCCAUGGAUAGCUGUGAGUCCAAAAUGACUCCCAGGCUGCGAGAUUAAAACUCACAUCAACUUUCUAAACAUCUAGGUAGGCUUGUUUAAACAGAUAUGUUUCUCUUGGGUGUCAAAAGGAGUACAGGCAUUGUCCGACCAAAGCAAAAUAGAGCAGUACUAAGAUUUACUUUGACCUGAGCAGUAUACUUCUGUUGAUGCAGCCUAGAGUAGCAUUAGCGGUUUUUGCUGCUGCAUCACAUUGUUGACCCGUGUUUAGCUUGUGGUCUACUAAGACUACCAGAUCCUUUCCACAUGUAUUACUGACAACCCAGGCGUCCCCCAUCUUAUAUUUGUGCAGCUUGUUCUUCCUGCCUAAGUGCAGAACCUGCCAUUUGUCCCUAGUGAAAUUCAUUUUGUUAGUUUUGGCCCAGUUUGGGUCCAAUCUGUUAAGUUCAUCUUGGAUCCCGAUUCUGUCUUCUGCGGCAUUAGUUACCCCUCCCAGUUUGAUGUCAUCUGCAAAUUGGAUGACAAGGUACUCCAAAACUAGGGUUGCCAUAUCUUCUCUUUUUCCAGGACACGUCCUCUUUUUCAUGAGUCAUCACAGCAAUCCAUAGUUAAAAGCAGAAGUUGGCAAAUGUGUCCUCUUUUUUGCUCUUCAAAAUAUGGCAACCCGACCCCACUCAGCGGUUUCAUGUAGUGUUAAAAAGCAUGCGGGAUAUAACCGAGCCCUGAGGAAAAUGCCACUCCCCCCCCCCCCCCAUUGAAGGCGCCAACAUCAACACUCAGAGCCUGAUCAUCAGCAAUGGAAGGAAAGGUCGGAUCUCGUGGAGACCAAAUGCUGUGUAUAUAAAUAAGGAAUAUGAUGAAACUAAUGCACUCCCAGCAAUUCACUGCCUCUGUAAACAAGAUUUGUUUGCUCCGGAUAAUAACCGCCCAGUUCACCAUUCCUGGGCUUGCACCACCUCCCUCCCUAGAUCAUGUAAACAAGCUUGUUUGAAAUCCAUUUCUGUGGUCUGCUAUCAGCUAACGUUCUCCUCCUUUGCCUUGGGUGAUUUUAUCCCCCCCUCCCCCGCCUUUCCAGUCAUCUAGGGUGUUUUCAAAAUAAAAAUUAAAAAAGCGUAAGCUUUCGCCAGGGGUCUGUCUUAUUUAAUCUUGUAACACUUCCUGUACAUUGCAGACAUUAUAUAAAUAAUGAAUAAGAAGAAGCAGUUACACAGUGGUGGAGAUUUUUUUAUUUUGUACUAAAAAAAAAACUUGUAGGCAGAACGAGAUUCGAUAAAUGGGAGGGGAACUUAGAGGGAAGAAUCGCUCCCCCCAGUACACACACACACACACACACCUCCACAACCCGUGCUAGAAGUCAAGAAAUGAAAAAUAGGUCAGGUGUUUUAAUAUCUGCAUUAGUUCAGAAUAAAUCAUGACCCUCCUUUUUAUUUUUUUAUUUUUUAGAAAAAUGCAAGGGAUGAAGUGAAAUUCUGCACUCCCUGAGCCGAUAUACAAACUGAAAUGCAGCGAACUUAAUUGCUGUUAUCCGAAUUUUAUGGUGCCGUUCUCCAAACGAAAGCAUUCUUUAAAAAAUGCGUAAGUAUAGAUAUAGAUCUCUUCCAUCUAUAACUAUUGAAUUAUAAUAGGGGGAUUGCUUGCAAAAAUUUCACAGAUUAGGCAAAUUUACAUCCAAUAAUGUGCAUAUUAGAAGAAAUGCACACAAAUUUAAUUCAGUCAUAUAAAUAUAUAUGACUGCACUAAAAAUAUAUAUCACAGCUAACGGCACAAACAGGGGGAGGAGGAAAGACUCUACAAAAAUGCUGUCCCUUAAUCCAUGCUCUGACGAAGGAGCAAAAUGAGCAGGCAAUAUCAUGAAGUAUAUUGACAGUUCAUGAAGUUAUGCCAAGUUUCCUUUCUAAGCUGGGAAUCACGGGGCAUGUAUUUGAAAUGGCAGCCAGAUGUUCAGAGGCUUAGUAAGGGCAGAUGGCCAGUCAGUGGCGCCAUUCCAACUGCCCAUUGGCUUUUUGCCUGCAGCCUGACACAACAGAACAUUCAGUCAGUUAGUAAGACUCAUAGGGUAGGAGGAAGUUAGAGAUAUGCGAUGUUCUCCCAGAAUUUAGGUCAGCCAUGUGGUCCUGCUGCCUGCAGCAGAAACAACACAAAGAGUUUUGUGGUUUCUUAAGGACUAGCAUAUUUAUUUGGUCAUACUUCAUAAAUCAGAGCCCACUUUUGCUUAUUCUGCAAAGGGGUGAAUCCAGGGCAACUUCUCCAGGAGUAGCAGAAGAAUAGAUAGAUAGAGAGAUAUAGAUAGAUAGAUGAUAGAUAGAUAGAUAGAUGAUAGAUAGAUAGAUGAUAGAUAGAUCGAUAGAUAGAUAGAUAUAGAUAGAUGAUAGAUAGAUAGAUGAUAGAUAGAUAGAUAGAUAGAUAGAUAGAUAGAUGAUAGAUAGAUAGAUAGAUAGAUAGAUAGAUAGAUAGAUGAUAGAUAGAUAGAUGAUAGAUAGAUGAUAGAUAGAUAUUGUGGACAGACAUGUACCUAUAAAAGAUAUGUUUAACAUGCAUGAAUUGUUAUAGGGAGGUUUGCAUUUGCAGAAUUCCUGUUUUGCCGAGAACUGUGGCAAGUGCAGAAGGUGCUCGUGCAACUAAAGCUGCGAAAAGGAGAGCGGAGACUUUUGCUUCAAUGUUAUGUUAAUUGAUGACUCAUCCCUGGGAGUCCAGGUCUCUCUCAGAAGCUGCCAGAUUCUUACUUAUCUGACUUAACUGAAUCUCACCCUGGGACCAGAAAGAGAACUGUUCAUGGACUACAUUAACAAGUGAGAACUUAAAGAAAACCUAGCUGCUUUGCUAGUUGUUUAAGAGCAAUGGGCCGAUUUGUAUUUACAACAGGUUUGUGUAACAAGUUUAAAGACAGUCUGUGGCAAAAGUUUGGAACUCGUUCUUGGCGUGGAGAGUUUGUGGAUUCAUACUCGGCACUAGGCCCAGAUCAGGGAAUUCCACUCAUGUGGCGCUGUGGGUUAAAUCACAGAGCCUAGGACUUGCUGAUCAGAAGUUCGGCAGUUUGAAUCCCCGCGACGGGGUGAGCUCCUGUUGCUCAGUCCCUGCUCCUGCCAACCUAGCAGUUCGAAAGCACGUCAAAGUAGAUAAAUAGGUUCCGUUCCGGCGGGAAGGUAAAUGGCGUUUCUGUGCGCUGCUCUGGUUCGCCAGAAGCAGCUUAGUCAUGCUGGCCACAUGACCCGGAAGCUGUUCGCCGGCUCCCUCGGCCAAUAAAGCGAGAUGAGCACCGCAACCCCAGAGUCGGUCACGACUAGACCUAAUGGUCAGGGGUCCCUUUACCUUUACCUUUAACAGUACGUGGCCCUCUGGGUUUAGUUGAACUCCAAUUCCCACCCACCCCUGCCAUGCUGAUGGGAGCUGAUGGAACUGCCUGGGGCUGGUGGAAGUUGGAGUCUGACAACAUAGAGGGUGACUUGUUUCCCACACACCCGGCAGAGGCAGCUGCAGUACAGUAGAAUAUAGUAGGCUGCAUAUCGCAAGAUGAGCAUUGGAAGGCUGUAGGUUGCCUUGCGAAGCGUUUCACCCAGUGGCUUGAAAUGCACCCGGCCCGUUGUAAAUCAGUCCUAAGUGCAAGACCUCAGAGAGGCCAGGGGACGCUGGUCCAUUAGGGCAGAUGGAUUGAUGCCUCAUCAGCCUCAGUCUGCUCUCAGACGCCUGCUUGCCUUUUUAUUUACAAUAUGUCCAGGGGGGGGGUGUAGCUCUGCUUGUCAGCUUCCUCUUGCUCAGGGCUCAUCCUGAUUGCUUUUUGCACUGUCUUUCUAGGCACAGCCCCACACUUAAAAGUGCUGUGUUCGAGUCCCCCCCUCCUGCAAAAACCCACUCUUUACCACUGAUUGAGAACAAACAGCAAUCCAUGGAAAACCCAAAUUUCUGCUUGUUCUGAUUCAGCAUUAAAGAGCAGGUUUUCACCAAGAAAGUACUGACCCGCCUCCAAAAAAUGGUGUUUGGACAUGCACUUUAAAGCACCAACUUAUGCCUAGAAAGUGAGGGAUAAAAGGUGAGUGUGGAUGAGCCCUCGCUUUCAGUAUUGCCCUUGCAGAAGUGGGCAGGGAUGAGGAUGGAGGAAAAAUGAGUCAGCUUUGCCUGUUUUUGGUUAAACCACAGAGCCUAGGACUUGCUGAUUAGAAGGUCGGUGGUUCGAAUCCCCGCGACGGGGUGAGCUCCCAUUGCUCGGUCCCUGCUCCUGCCAACCUAGCAGUUCGAAAGCACAUCAAAGUGCAAGUAGAUCAAUAGGUACCGCUCUGGCGGGAAGGUAAACGGCGUUUCCGUGCGCUGCUCUGGUUUGCCAGAAGCGGCUUAGUCAUGCUGGCCACAUGACCUGGAAGCUGUACGCCAGCUUCCAUGGCCAAUAAAGUGAGAUGAGUGCUGCAACCCCAGAGUCAGACACGACUGGACCUAAUGAUCAGGGGCCCCUUUACCUUUACCUUACCCCCUACUGUUGGGCUCUCUGCCUUCCACCCUACCAGUUCCAAUGGGCAGCAGCUACCACUGGGCAUAGGAGAUCAGCCACACUCGACGAUGAUGCUCGCUUCGUGACCUUUGGCCAGGCAGGACCUUCUCUUAGCAGGAGCUGCUACCCAGUUUCCCAUUCAUCCAUCUGCCCAGCCCACCCUCACUGCCACAAGCCAGCAAACAUCCUGUGCCCACUGAGCAUGCUCAGCCCUCAAUUGGGGGGUGUUUUGGUCAGGGAGGGGAAUGCUCUCUUCGAUCUUUUUUGUCUUACUGCAAACCUCAGCUUCUAUUUCUGCAAACCUGACGCAUCUGCCUUAUGUAUGGGUGGUGGUGUUUUGGCUACUUAAAGACCGGCACUGGGAGAAUUGAGGAUGUGAUUAGUAAAUAUGAUGGCAGUCAUUUUUUCUAAUAGGCAGCAGUAGUUUUUUUGGUUAUUAAACAGUAAACGUUCUCGCCCUUCUGUCGAUAUCUCAAAAGGGCAUCUUCAGUUGACGUUUUUGGAGACAUGCAGAUUUGUUUCAAUGUAAUUGCUUUGCCACUAAAUCAAUUGGUUAAAAGUCUAAUUAAAUCUGGGGGGGGGGCAGGGAUGGACGGACCCAAAAGCCCCACAGAAGAUGCAUUUGCUGCUGUGUUCUGCAGGAUUUCCCUUGCUUUGAGGUUUUAAAAGGGAGAGGUUCGCCUAUGGAAUGGGUUUGCCUAACGGGAAUAAAUCUAUGCUUUAUAUAAUCUUCAUUUUAAUGGUCGUGAUAUCUAAGUGCAUGUCUUCCCCCGGUGCCAAUAAAAAAUGAUUUACAAAUUCUCUGUACCUUGGUUGGCUUCUAAACAGCAAGAUCAUGCUACGGAUGCGUGUUAAGAAGAAGAAAAAUGAGCAUAAUAUGGCCUAUCAGGUGGUUUCUCUUUUUACUCGUGACUGCAGAAUUGGGAGGAGAGAAACAGAUAGAUGGGGAGGCAGAGAUGAGGGAUGGAUUCUCAUAAACAUACGGCCCAAAGGUUAAGCUAAAGCAAGGGUGGAAAACUCUGAGGGCCACAGUCCCUUCUGGGUAGCCUUCCAGGGGCCACAUGCCAGACUGGAGGACAGGGCCAAAGGCAAAACUGGACAAAGUAAUGGAUGCCAAUUUUUACCUCUAAAGGGACCCCU